rnacentral:rRNA from 1 species
AUGAUCCCUAUAGGGCGCGGUCAGCGAGAGUUAAUUAUUGGGGACAGACAGACUGGCAAAACAGCAGUAGCCACAGCUACAAUUCUCAAUCAAAAAGGGGAAGGUGUAAUAUGUGUUUAUGUAGCUAUCGGUCAAAGAGCAUCCUCCGUAGCUCAAGUAGUAACUACUUUCCAUGAGGAGGGGGCCAUGGAAUACACUAUUGUAGUAGCUGAGAUGGCGGAUUCACCUGCUACAUUACAAUACCUCGCGCCUUAUACGGGAGCAGCCCUGGCUGAGUAUUUUAUGUACCGCGAAUGGCAUACUUUAAUAAUUUAUGAUGAUCUCUCCAAACAGGCACAAGCUUAUCGCCAAAUGUCCCUUCUAUUAAGAAGACCUCCCGGCCGUGAGGCUUAUCCAGGGGAUGUUUUUUAUUUGCAUUCACGCCUUUUAGAAAGAGCCGCUAAAUUAAAUUCUCUUUUAGGCAAAGGAAGUAUGACCGCUUUACCAAUAGUUGAGACUCAAUCUGGAGACGUUUCCGCCUAUAUUCCUACUAAUGUAAUCUCCAUUACAGAUGGACAAAUAUUCUUAUCUGCGGAUCUAUUCAAUGCCGGAAUUCGACCCGCUAUUAAUGUGGGUAUUUCUGUUUCCAGAGUAGGAUCCGCGGCUCAAAUUAAAGCCAUGAAACAAGUAGCUGGCAAAUCAAAAUUGGAACUAGCUCAAUUCGCAGAGUUACAAGCCUUUGCACAAUUCGCCUCUGCUCUCGAUAAAACAAGUCAGAAUCAAUUGGCAAGGGGUCGAUGA